ACAAGAAGAGUUUUGAUUCCUGCUGCGACCUUGCCAUGGAUACCUGGCUCUUAUGGGGAACAAUUUUUACUCUCCUGAAAGCAGGACAUACAGAACCAGGAGUGACCCAGACCCCCAGCCACCAGAUCAUGAAGAUGGGACAGGCAGUGACCUUUAGGUGUGAUCCCAUUCCUAACCACUUAUACUUUUAUUGGUACCGACAGAUCUUGGGACAAAAAUUGGACUUUCUGGUUUACUUCUAUAAUGAUAAACCCUCGGAGAAGUCUGAAAUAUUCAAUGAUCGAUUCACAGUUGAGAGGCCUAGUGGAUCAUAUCUAAUUCUGAAGAUCCAGCCCACACAGCUGGAAGACUCAGCUGUGUACCUCUGUGCCAGCAGCUUAGCCACAGCCUGGUAACAAGAUUGCCUGCCU